UAAAAACUUCAAUCACCAUAACCAUUCCAAUAUAUUUACUUCUUUUAAAACUAAAUUGCUCAUUACCAUUAUGAGUCCUAGGUCAAAUGUUGAAUACCUCCUCUUGGGAACCCACUUGGCUGGAUCUUUCUAAUGGAGGGAGCCUUACAGUGAUACUAUCUCUAGAGGAGAUUCCACGGAAACUUAGCCUACAAUGACCUCUGACCUACAGUGAAACCAGAAUGGCCACACACCUUGUUCCAAACCUGCCUCCCCACCUUUCUGGUCUUCCUUCAGCCACCGAUCUCCGCUUGGCUGGAUGACCUUCCAUAAUGGAAUUUCUCAGAGGUGGACAAUUUCCCAUAAUAUGAUUUCUCAGUUCUAUUGUAAGUACAAUAUGUUUGGAUUUAUUGUGCAUUUUACCUCUUAUAUUUUUCAACUCAACAUGAAUGACAUUUAAAAGGGAUAUAGCAAGAUAUUUUUGUUAGAGAAUAUCUCCUGGUCACCUAUUGCUCUUUAUGAAUCUAUGACAGAUUACUUACUUUAUAUUUUCCAGAUAAUAUCUUCAAAUAAUGAAAAGAUAAAAAUCAGAUGUUAUACCUAAGAAAUCUUAACAUUAGCAAGAAAUUCCUCAGUAGAUUCUGUUUCAGGCCCCAUAUCUCCCCUUGGUCUGUGCUGCUUAAUAUUGAUGGAAGAAAGAAUCAGUGUUUUAAUGUCUCUCUGGCAGUACCAGGUAGCUUGGCAUCAAAACUGAAUUACAAAAGUGUGGUCUCAAAACUUACUUGGGUUCUCAGAAUUUCUGGUAAUUAUUUCCUGUAUCCCUAGCAGCAUUUAUUUAUUUAUGUUAUGUGUCCAAGACAACUUAACAUAGUAGGUGAGAACAUGAAGUCUAAUGCCAGACAGCAUGAGUUUGAAACUUGGUUCUGCAGUUACUAGUUAAACAGCCUUCAAUAAGAACAUUUUUUAAAACUUAUUUUUAAGUACUUGGGUGUUAGACCAGGAUGCAAGAAAAGACCACUGACUCCAAUUAAAAUCAAAUUAAAGCAAGCUUAUUAUUUCGACCGGCUGGGCUGCCUCUCCCUCCCCAAACCGCGGGAACAAGACAGCAACCCCAGCUUUCCUGCAGCCCAGCUUUAUAGCCCAGAAAGUUACACAAAGGGGGGUUACAGAUAACAGAACUCUGUCAAGCAUCACACUAAUGGUAGUUUACAUUUUUUGCUAGCCCCAACAUCAGAAUUUAUGAGGACCAUUAGAGCCUCAGAGAGGGCCGUUAUCUGGCCAGGGAAGGCCAAUAUUUAUGAGGUGUCACUAAAGUUUCAGAGAGGGCUGCUAUCUGGUCAGAGAGCCAGGCAUGGGUGAGUUCAAGGCACGGGCAGGCAUUCCAAGCAGGUUCAGAAUUUGCAGUAAUUUAUAGUAAAG
rnacentral:lncRNA from 1 species